rnacentral:misc_RNA from 1 species
GAUGAAGAACGCAGCGAAAUGCGAUAAGUAAUGUGAAUUGCAGAAUUCAGUGAAUCAUCGAAUCUUUGAACGCAUCUUGCGCUCCUUGGUAUUCUGAGGAGCAUGCCUGUUUGAGUGUCAUUAAAUUCUCAACUACACUGACUUUGAAUUGGUGUGGCUUGGAUUUGGGGGGAAAAUUGUUGUGGGCUUUUUGUAUAGUCUGCUCCCCUGAAAUUGAUUAGCGGUACCUUUGUGGAACUGUCUACAGGUGUGAUAAUUAUCUACAUCUUAGACAUCUGCUGGAAUGCUGCUUUCUAAACCUUACUUGUAUUGACAAUCUUGACCUCAAAUCAGGUGGGACUACCCGCUGAACUUAAGCAUAUCAAUAAGCGGAGGA